rnacentral:rRNA from 1 species
GACGAACGCUGGCGGCGUGCCUAAUACAUGCAAGUAGAACGCCGUGUCGAGCGGGUGAGUAACGUGUAGGUAACUUCCUCAUAGCGGGGGAUAACUAUUGGAAACGAUUGCUAAUACCUCCUACUUUGAGCUGGAUCUGCGUUGUAUUAGCUAGUUGGUGAGGUAAAGGCUCACCAAGGCGACGAUACAUAGCCGGACUGAGGGGGAGAGCGGGCACAACGGGACUGGAGAACGGCCCAGACUCCUACGGGGAGCAACAGUAGGGAAUCUGUGGGAAUGGGCGGAAGUCUGACCGAACAAAUCCGGGGGAGUGAAGGAGGGUUUCGGAUCGUAAAGCUCUGUUGUUAGAGAAGCGGUAACUAACCAGAAAGGGACGGCUAACUACGUGCCAGCAGCCGCGGUAAUUC